GAAACUUACGACUGUGCCCACCUUCAAAGCCCCUGAGUUGAAGCUCUCUCCACUCUUGAACCAUUGCACAACAGCAACACAUGAGAUGAGUAAGGAAAUCAUCGCAUGCACCUCCCUGCACAACACACCCAAAAUGUUGAAACUUUUUCCUUAUACAGCAAGUGUAACAGCAACAUCCACAGAAGAGGGAAUACGCCGUGAGUCUGUCAAUUGCUUCCUCCCGGGCUGUGGUACCAAUCAACAAAACUAUGAAAACGCUUGAAUUUAUACCUGCAUACGGAACUCAUGGACAAGGGAAAUCAAGGGCACGAGCUUAAGAUAACGAUCAAUCUCCGCCUGAACUUGACGGAACUGAUACACUACGCUCCACCCCAUGGCAAGCAUGUAUAAGCAACUCUUAUUUCUGCAGCUCUCCACUAAAUCAAACGCCUUCUUCAACGCUUCCUCCAAGCAAUCCAGUGGCUCUUUUAUGGCUGGUAACCUUACAAGGUCAGUUGAUUUCAACUUCUCCAACAAGUUCCCUAUCAUCUUCACGUGCUCCGCCAGCUGCUCGCAGUUUCUACGGUGUGUUGCCGCCUUUCCGGCCGAUGAUAUGAUCAGGUUCACUAUGCCUACCGCAUCUACUCCGGUUACUUGAGCCAAGGUUUCCAUUCUUUUCAGAGUUGAGUUUUUGCAAUGAUUUUGGGGUGCAGCGAUUUUGAAGUAGUGACUUCGGCUUCUUUUCGUUUUUCGGGUUUUGUUAAAUUUGUUCUCACUUUUGAGUGAAUUACAUUUUCCGCCCAAGAUUUUUCAGAAAAUUAUUUCCCACCCAAGAUUUAAUUCGAAGUCUACAGUGAAAAGUCUCACUACAGUUUCCUCUUCA